AACGAUGUUCACUAGUCGUCGGAAUGCUAGUCAUUUCGGUGAUGCACUUAACAGAUUAAGUGAACCGCCUGGGGAGUACGGUCGCAAGAUUAAAACUCAAAGGAAUAGACGGGGACCCGCACAAGUGGUGGAGCAUGUGGUUUAAUUCGAAGAUACGCGAAGGACCUUACCUAGCCUUGACAUUGAUUGAAUUUUCCAGAGAUGGAGAAGUGCCUUUCGGGGAACAUGAAAACAGGUGCUGCACGGCUGUCGUCAGCUCGUGUCGUGAGAUGUUGGGUUAAGUCCCGCAACGAGCGCAACCCUCGUCCUUAGUUGCCAGCAGGUUAAGCUGGGCACUUUAAGGAGACUGCCUUCGCAAGGAGGAGGAAGGUGAGGACGACGUCAAGUCAUCAUGGCCCUUAUGGCUAGGGCUACACACGUGCUACAAUGGGGCGUACAGAGAGUUGCGAUACCGCGAGGUGGAGCCAAUCUCACAAAGCGUCUCUCAGUUCGGAUUGAAGUCUGCAACUCGACUUCAUGAAGCUGGAAUCACUAGUAAUCGUAGAUCAGCAAUGCUACGGUGAAUACGUUCCCGGGUCUUGUACUCACCGCCCGUCACACCAUGGGAGUUGAUUUCGCCCGAAAUUGGGAAGCUAACCUUCGGGAGGCUACCACUUACGGCGGAAUUAGCGAC
rnacentral:rRNA from 1 species